AUACGGAGGGUGCAAGCGUUAUCCGGAAUCAUAGGGUUUAAAGGGUCCGUAGGCGGACUAUUAAGUCAGAGGUGAAAUCCCACAGCUCAACUGUGGAACUGCCUUUGAUACUGGUAGUCUUGAGUUAUAUGGAAGUAGAUAGAAUGUGUAGUGUAGCGGUGAAAUGCAUAGAUAUUACACAGAAUACCGAUUGCGAAGGCAGUCUACUACGUAUAUACUGACGCUAAGGGACGAAAGCGUGGGGAGCGAACAGGAUUAGAAACCCGAGUAGUCC
rnacentral:rRNA from 1 species